rnacentral:rRNA from 1 species
GAUGAACGCUGGCGGCGUGCCUAAUACAUGCAAGUCGAGCGAACAGACGAGGAGCUUGCUCCUCUGACGUUAGCGGCGGACGGGUGAGUAACACGUGGAUAACCUACCUAUAAGACUGGGAUAACUUCGGGAAACCGGAGCUAAUACCGGAUAAUAUAUUGAACCGCAUGGUUCAAUAGUGAAAGACGGUUUUGCUGUCACUUAUAGAUGGAUCCGCGCCGCAUUAGCUAGUUGGUAAGGUAACGGCUUACCAAGGCAACGAUCCGUAGCCGACCUGGGAGGGUGAUCGGCCACACGGGAACUGAGCCACGGUCCAGACGCCUACGGGAGGCAGCAGUAGGCAAUCUUCCGCAAUGGGCGAAAGCCUGACGGAGCAACGGCGAGUGAGUGAUGAAGGUCUUCGGAUCGUAAAACUCUGUUAUUAGGGAAAAACAAAUGUGUAAGUAACUAUGCACGUCUUGACGGUACCUAAUCAGAAAGCCACGGCUAACUACGUG